rnacentral:tmRNA from 1 species
GGGGCUGACCUGGUUUCGACGGGAGCGGGCCGCUUUUGGUUGCAUGUCGGGCUGAGCACUCCCGUUACGCGGCUCAUUAUGCUUAAAUGCAAACAACACAAAUUAUCGCCCAGCUUUAGCAGUAGCUUAAGUUUUAACCCCUCGUAAGAGGUGGGCUGCUUCACUUGCGGAUUCUAAAUAAGCAAGAUUCUGAAGUAUAACCCUUUAUUUAGAUAUAUUUUAUGUGUGUCUCGGCAUAAAAUGAACUUUUGAGGCUCGUCUGCCCUAGCUUUGCAGGUUGUGUGAAAGCAGAUUAAACCAAACAACCUCUCUAAACAUGUAGACGCCGGAAGUAACCCGUUUUCGGACUGGAGUUCGAUUCUCCACAGCUCCACCA